UGGGGAAUAUUGGACAAUGGGCGAAAGCCUGAUCCAGCCAUGCCGCGUGUGUGAAGAAGGUCUUCGGAUUGUAAAGCACUUUAAGUUGGGAGGAAGGGCAUUAACCUAAUACGUUAGUGUUUUGACGUUACCGACAGAAUAAGCACCGGCUAACUCUGUGCCAGCAGCCGCGGUAAUACAGAGGGUGCAAGCGUUAAUCGGAAUUACUGGGCGUAAAGCGCGCGUAGGUGGGUCGUUAAGUUUGAUGUGAAAUCCCCGGGCUCAACCUGGGAACUGCAUUCAAAACUGACUGACUAGAGUAUGGUAGAGGGUGGUGGAAUUUCCUGUGUAGCGGUGAAAUGCGUAGAUAUAGGAAGGAACACCAGUGGCGAAGGCGACCACCUGGACUAAUACUGACACUGAGGUGCGAAAGCGUGGGGAGCAAACA
rnacentral:rRNA from 1 species